GUCGAGCGGUAACAUUUCAAAGCUUGCUUUGAAGAUGACGAGCGGCGGACGGGUGAGUAAUGCUUGGGAAUAUGCCUUAUGGUGGGGGACAACAGUUGGAAACGACUGCUAAUACCGCAUAAUGUCUACGGACCAAAGGGGGGGAUCUUCGGACCUCUCGCCAUUUGAUUAGCCCAAGUGAGAUUAGCUAGUUGGUGAGGUAAUGGCUCACCAAGGCGACGAUCUCUAGCUGGUUUGAGAGGAUGAUCAGCCACACUGGGACUGAGACACGGCCCAGACUCCUACGGGAGGCAGCAGUGGGGAAUAUUGCACAAUGGGCGCAAGCCUGAUGCAGCCAUGCCGCGUGUGUGAAGAAGGCCUUCGGGUUGUAAAGCACUUUCAGUAAGGAGGAAAGGGAUGUAGUUAAUAGCUGCAUUCUGUGACGUUACUUACAGAAGAAGCACCGGCUAACUUCGUGCCAGCAGCCGCGGUAAUACGAGGGGUGCAAGCGUUAAUCGGAAUUACUGGGCGUAAAGCGUUCGUAGGCGGUUGAUUAAGCAAGAUGUGAAAGCCCAGGGCUCAACCUUGGAACUGCAUUUUGAACUGGUCAACUAGAGUACUGUAGAGGGUGGUGGAAUU
rnacentral:rRNA from 1 species